UACGUAGGGGGCAAGCGUUGUCCGGAUUUAUUGGGCGUUAAAGAGCGUGUAGGCGGUUUGGUAGGUCCGCUGUGAAAACUCGAGGCUCAACCUCGAGACGCCGGUGGAAACCAUCAGACUAGAGUCCGGAAGAGGAGAGUGGAAUUCCUGGUGUAGCGGUGAAAUGCGCAGAUAUCAGGAAGGAACACCCGGUGGCGUAAGG
rnacentral:rRNA from 1 species